AAAAUGAUAGGAUGAAAUUUGAGGGCCUGGAGCAUGAUUCUGGCUGCUUAUUAGGGAGCUUGGGGGGAGGCUGGGAGGUGAGUGAGUGGUCACAAGAUCAGGUGAGGUCCCAGGUGCAUCAGGCUCUGCUGAUGCACCUGUUAGAAAGUGAAGAUGAAUCUUGAAGGGCCAGGACUUGUGGCUGCCUGGAUGUGAGCAGCGAGGGCAGGGGGAGCCGCGACAACUUCUAGUUUUCUGUCUCAGGUGACUGGGUGCUCCUAGGGACAGAUUUGGGAUCCAGAAGUAGAAGUAAAUUCAGGAGAAAGUCUGAAUUCAGCAAAGGACCUGGAUAGUAUGAGAUACUGUGGGGACUCGGGGCAUGUUCUGUCACAAGGAGGUAAUGUGUGGAGAAAAUGGAAAGCCUGGGAUCCUAGGGUAGGGUGGGAACUGUGCUUGUGCUGCUGUCAUACCUGGACCCCCCAAAUGUCCCAAAUCCUUGGACACCUAAGAGGACUCAUCCUGCUUACCCUCCUUCCUCUUCCGAACUGUUUACUCCAUGACCCCUGAUCCCCCUUUUCUUGGGUUCCUUCUGCUUCUGUGGACAUUCUAUACUGUCUCCUUCACAUACACCUUCUUUCCUACCAUUUGCUUGGGUGCCCAGCCAGGAGGGAGCCUCCCCAAGAGGUUUAGGUUUGUGUUCGGAUGGGGGAUUUGUUGGAGUGCUUGGUUCAAGUCAGGCUAAACUAGGAAGAUUUCUUAGAGGAGGAAGGGAUAUGCAGUCUACUGGUCCUGGUUAUUGCUGGAUGCUGUGUGGGGCAUUUUGUAUACAUGAUUUCACUGAUCCCUGCAACAAGCCUUCUGAGGGAUUUGUUUCCUAGUUUUAAGCAGGGACAUUAUGGCUCAGAACAAGGUAUGGGAGGCACUGUUUGGAUCCAUGUCAAAUGUAUUAUUCUGGGAGGAAGGUCAGGGAGGUUCUCCCAACCCAGAGAGGAGCAUUAAGUCAGGGGGUCUUGAAGGUCAAACCAGGUCUGUGGUGGUAUGAAGUUUGGAUGGUGGAAGCACAAAAAAGGUUUGUGCCUCUCCUAGGUUCACACAACUGGGAACUACAAUCUCCCAGCAGCCUGGCUCACAGCCUAGAUGGGAAUUUCCUGGUGCAAUUGUGCCCUCUAUUGGCCAUUCUUCUG
rnacentral:lncRNA from 1 species